AGUCGAACGGCAGCACAGACUUCGGUCUGGUGGCGAGUGGCGAACGGGUGAGUAAUGUAUCGGAACGUGCCUAGUAGUGGGGGAUAACUACGUGAAAGCGUAGCCAAUACCGCAUACGCCCUUCGGGGAAAGCGGGGACCUUCGGGCCUCGCACUAUUAGAGCGGCCGAUAUCGGAUUAGCUAGUUGGUGGGGUAACGGCUCACCGUUAAGACGAUCCGUAGCUGGUUUGAGAGGACGACCAGCCACACUGGGACUGAGACACGGCCCAGACUCCUACGGGAGGCAGCAGUGGGGAAUUUUGACAAUGGGAAACCCUGAUCCAGCCAUCCCGCGUGUGCGAUGAAGGCCUUCGGUUGUAAAGCACUUUUGGCAGGAAAGAAACGGCACGGGAUAAUACCCCGUGCAACUGACGUACCUGCAGAAUAAGCACCGGCUAACUACGCGCCAGCAGCCGCGGUAAUACGUAGGGUGCAAGCGUUAAUCGGAAUUACUGGGCGUAAAGCGUGCGCAGGCGGUUCGGAAAGAAAGAUGAAAUCCCAGAGCUUAACUUUGGAACUGCAUUUUUAACUACCGAGCUAGAGUAGGUCAGAGGGAGGUGGAAUUCGCGUGUAGCAGUGAAAUGCGUAGAUAUGCGGAGGAACACCGAUGGCGAAGGCAGCCUCCUGGGAUAACACUGACGCUCAUGCACGAAAGCGUGGGGAGCAACAAGGAUUAGAUACCCUGGUAGUCCACGCCCUAAACGAUGUCAACUAGCCGUUGGGGCCUUCGGGCUCUCGGUAGCGCAGCUAACGCGUGAAGUUGACCGCCUGGGGAGUACGGUCGCAAGAUUAAAACUCAAAGGAAUUGACGGGGACCCGCACAAGCGGUGGAUGAUGUGGAUUAAUUCUGAUGCAACGCGAAAAACCUUACCUACCCUUGACAUGUCUGGAAUCCCGAAGAGAUUUGGGAGCAAGCCGUAAAGAGAACCGGAACACAGGUGCUGCAUGGCUGUCGUCAGCUCGUGUCGUGAGAUGUUGGGUCCCGCAACGAGCGCAACCCUUGUCAUUAGUUGCUACGAAAGGGCACCUAAUGAGACUGCCGGUGACAAACCGGAGGAAGGUGGGGAUGACGCCAAGUCCUCAUGGCCCUUAUGGGUAGGGCUUCACACGUCAUACAAUGGUCGGGACAGAGGGUCGCCAACCCGCGAGGGGGAGCCAAUCCCAGAAACCCGAUCGUAGUCCGGAUCGCAGUCUGCAACUCUGACUGCGUGAAGUCGGAAUCGCUAGUAAUCGCGGAUCAGCAUGUCGCGGUGAAUACGUUCCCGGGUCUUGUACACACCGCCCGUCACACCAUGGGAGUGGGUUUUACCAGAAGUAGUUAGCCUAACCGUAAGGAGGGCGAUUACCACGGUAGGAUUCAUGACUGGGGUGAAGUCGUAACAAGGUAA
rnacentral:rRNA from 1 species